AGAGUUUGAUCCUGGCUCAGAAUCAACGCUGGCGGCGUGCCUCAGACAUGCAAGUCGAACGAUUAAGACUCUCUUCGGAGAGUGUAUAGAGUGGCGCACGGGUGAGUAACACGUAGGUAAUUUGCCUUCGGGUGGGGAAUAACUUGGGGAAACCCAAGCUAAUACCGCAUAAUGCAGCGGCACCAAAUGGUGACAGUUGUUAAAGCUUUAUGUGCCUGAAGAGAAGCCUGCGGUGGAUUAGGUAGUUGGUAAGGUAAUGGCUUACCAAGCCUGCGAUCCAUAUCCGGUCUUAGAGGACGGUCGGACACACUGACACUGAAUAACGGGUCAGACUCCUACGGGAGGCAGCAGUCGGGAAUUUUGGGCAAUGGGCGAAAGCCUGACCCAGCAACGCCGCGUGAAGGAUGAAGUCCUUCGGGAUGUAAACUUCGGAAGAAUGGGAAGAAUAAAUGACGGUACCAUUUUUAAGCCCCGGCUAACUCCGUGCCAGCAGCCGCGGUAAUACGGAGGGGGCAAGCGUUGUUCGGAUUUACUGGGCGUAAAGGGCGCGUAGGCGGCGUGACAAGUCACUUGUGAAAUCUCCGGGCUUAACUCGGAACUGCCAAGUGAUACUGUCGUGCUAGAGUGCAGAAGGGGCAAUCGGAAUUCUUGGUGUAGCGGUGAAAUGCGUAGAUAUCAAGAGGAACACCAGAGGCGAAGGCGGAUUGCUGGGCUGACACUGACGCUGAGGCGCGAAAGCUAGGGUAGCAAACGGGAUUAGAUACCCUAGUAGUCC
rnacentral:rRNA from 1 species